UGGAGAUCAUAGCUCUGAGAGCUGCCUCUAUAAGAAGCAGCCAGGACGAGAUGGUAUGAAGCUUUCCAGUGGGCUCUGUCGUGUCCCUGGGUAGUGAGUCUAAUCUCUGACCUCUCCUACUUUUCCCUCAUGAAGGCAUUUUCCUUGUCCACAGAAAUGGGUCAGAUCUCAUCCAGUGCCUGCCUGACCAGGCCUCACAGGAGACCUGCUGGUUGGAGGAGAAGUUUAGAAGAUUCCAGAUGUUUACUCCACCUAUCAUCUGCCAAGGCUGCAGACAGAGGGGCCUGCAGAAGCCUUGAUCUCCGAGUGGUCUGUGGCCGUGAGGUGGAGAGAUACAACUGCUUUGUCGAGGACCCAGGGGAAGACUGAACUGUGUCUGCCUGAGUCUUAUCAAAGGAAAAAUGGUAACAGCACUUUUAUUUUUUUUUAAUGAGUAAUAUAGGGGAAAUAUAGGAGAAAAAACUUGUUUAAGUAAGAAUUUGAAAUUAAGUUUGCCAAAUAUGCUGAGAGUUGAUCCUUGGAGAAACUUUAUCUUUACUGCAUAGUCAAAUACAUCGACUUUGGGGGCACCUGGCAAUUACUGCGUGGCAUAGAUUCAAUUUGUUCUUGUGUAGACAAUAUUAUCUGGCACAGGAAACAGGAAACCUUCACACAUAUUUUAGUAAACACAAUCCCAG
rnacentral:lncRNA from 10 species